UAUGACGGGAAGAUGCCGGCC
rnacentral:misc_RNA from 1 species